rnacentral:rRNA from 1 species
CGCAUCUGUGCAUGCAGCAUAUCAAUAAGCGGAGGAAAAGAAACUAACAAGGAUUCCCCUAGCUAACGGCGAGUGAAGCGGGAAGAGCUCAAAUUUGAAAUCUUAAAGGGUUUCCCUUUACGAAUUGUAGUUUAAAGAAGUGUUUUCUGUUGAGGUUUUGGUAAAAGUUCUUUGGAAUAGGACAUCAUAGAGGGUGAGAAUCCCGUAUUUGACCUUUACUUUCAACUUUGUGAUACACUUUCAAAGAGUCGGAUUGUUUGGGAAUGCAGUCCAAAAUGGGUGGUAAAUUUCAUCUAAAGCUAAAUAUUGGGGAGAGACCGAUAGCGAACAAAGUACCGUGAGGGAAAGAUGAAAAGAACUUUGAAAAGAGAGUUAAACAGUACGUGAAAUUGUCAAAAGGGAAGCGUUUGACACCAGUGUUGUUUUUCUGAAAAUCAAUUAAAGAACUGUUUAUGCUAAGUUGUUUAGACUUUAUCAGCUAACUGUUUAGUUUUGAGCUUUUCUUUAAUGCACUUUUCAGUUAACAAGUCAACAUCAAUUUCUUUUGCUGUAAAAAAGCUUGAGGAAGGUGGCUUGAGAUUCGUCUUAAGUGUUUAUAGCCUCUUGCCUAUGCAGUCGGAGAGAUUGAGGUCUGCAGCGUAGAUCCUUCGGGGCUAAAUGCAUUUGUGCUAAGUUAUAGCAUUUUAUAGACAACUUGUUGACUAUGAUUUGUCUUGUAGCUUACUCGCUUAUGUUAUUUUACCUACGCUUAGGAUGUUGAACGCGCACAGAGUCUC